CUAAGAUUGGAAACUUCACCAAGUCUUAACCUUCUAUGACUUACCAUUCGCGAGAAAUACCACAUCAAAGUUUAUCACUUUAACCUAACUGAGGUUUAAACGCGAAUUGUUUUCAUAUCAAGAUCGAAGAGAACACGUUGAACUCCA